GAGGCAGGCCCCGUCCGGGGAUUUUAGAAACCCUGCGGUCCAUCAUGAAGUUCCAGUAUAAGGAGGAUCAUCCUUUUGAAUAUCGGAAAAAGGAAGGAGAAAAGAUCCGGAAGAAAUAUCCACACAGAGUCCUGGUGAUUGUGGAGAAGGCUCCCAAAGCCAGGGUGCCUGAUCUGGACAAGAGGAAGUAUUUAGUGCCCUCAGAUCUCACAGUUGGCCAAUUCUAUUUCUUAAUCCGGAAGAGGAUUCACCUGCAACCUGAGGACACCUUAUUCUUCUUUGUCAACAACACUAUCCCUCCCACUAGUGCUACCAUGGGCCAGCUGUAUGAGCUAGACUGAGAAAAUAAUUAUGAUAAACUAGCACCUUCUUUCUCUGAAACCAACAUUUUCAAACUCUGA